GCGUUAGCCAGGAUGGUCUCGAUCUCCUGACCUUGUGAUCCGCCCACCUUGGCCUCCCAAAGUGCUGGGAUUACAGGCGUGAGCCACCGCGCCCGGCCUCUGAGUGGACAUUUUUAAGGACAAUGCUAUGGACUGAAUGUUUGUGUCCCCCCAAACUUCAUAUGUUGACAUCCUAAUCUUUAGUGUGACAGUAUUGGGAGGUGAAGCUUUAGGAAAUAAUUAUGUCAUAAGGCUGAAGCCCGUGUGAGUGGGAUUAGUGCCCUUACAAAGGGGACCCCAGAGAGUACUCUAGCUAUCUUUCUACCAUGUGAGGACACAGUAAGAAGUCAACUAUUUGCAACCAAAAGAGGGUCCUCACGAGAACCUGGUGGUGCUGGAACCGUGAUCUCAGACUUCCAGCCUCCAGAACUGUGAGAAAUAGAUUUGUUUUCUUGAUAAGCCCACCAGUUUGUGAUAUUAUUGCAGCCGGAGCUGACUUGGGCAGAAAUCGCAUAACAGAAUGCCUUUAGUAGUUCCAAUGAACUUGCAUCAUGGGAUGCUAGAAUCAUGGAAAUUGGAUAGAGAAAUAGAGCAUCUGUUCUCUCAGCAAGACAUUUCCAAAUCAGUUUUCCUAUCUGUAAGAGGAGAGGAAGGUUUUGUUUGUUUUUUAAGCAGCCAUUUAUUUUGCACCUGCCAUUUGUUAGAUGCUAUUUUAGGGACUUUCCUUACUUUAUGUCUUUUAAUUUUCAGUCAGCUAUUAAGAGAAAUAAUAUUCCCACUUUUCAGAUAAGAAAGAUAAGACCUGGACUAAAUGAUUUGCCCAGAGUCACAGAGAAAAGUAUCAGAACCUGAAUUCCAUACUGGCCCAGUCAACUUCAAAGCCUCUGCCUUAUUUAUUAUGUUAAGAUGCCUUCUAUAACUAAGAGAUAAUGUUUCUGUAAGAAAAAGUGAUCUUGUCUACCUCUGGCUAGCAGAAGAAACUGACUGGUGUAUCACAGAGAUAGCUAAGUAAUGAAGAACAAGAUGAACUGAGUGGAAUGAACAGCUGUUACAAAUGGAGAAACUAUCAAAGAGCAGUGUAAUUGAGGAGCAGUGUAGUGUAGCAGUCAAGAGCACGGAUCUGAAAUCAGACCAGCCUGGAUUUAAGUUUUGGCUCUACCAUUACCCAGAUGUUUCAUCUUUCUCCAAGUUACACACUCUCAGCCUCAGUUUUUUCACCCAUAAACAAGCAUAUAAGGAUAAUAACCUGCCUCAGGUUGUAAGGAUUAAAGGGAACUUAUAUAAAACCUAUAAUGAAUCUUACUCACUAGGCUCUUAAUAAAUAGUAGUUCCUCUUAUAAGCAGAACAGGGCCAAGUAGUAAUUACAACUGAGAAGAGAAAAUGCUGUUCAAAGCAAGAUGAAAAAGGUGAGUAAAGUCCCUUAGAGAGCUCAGCCCUACAGGAUUUGAGAUUCUCAUUCUUUCAUACCCUCUCUCCUUCCCUCCCCAUUUUUCUUCUUCAACUACUUCCCUCUUUUCCUCUCUCUCCCCCCACCAAAUAUUAUGCUAGACUCCACAUGCAGCAUGUCAUUUUAUCCACCUUGAGCUUGCUCUUGCCCUGCUCUUCUCGCUGUGGAAUUCUCUUCCUCCUGUCCCUCCUUCCUACUUCUGAGCUUCCACCCCCGCUUCCUACUCUGAGCUUCCUUCUCCAGGUUUGCUCCUUCUUUCCAUCAGCUAUCACUUUAUCACCACCUCCUCAAAGAGGCCAUGUUCAUGUCCAGGCCCACAAUCUCAAGUAGCCAUCCUGUGAUUCUGUAUCAUAUUAUCCUUUUUAAACUCUAUGCAGCACUUACUACCUCUGAUGUUUGUCUUCUUUAAGGAUUUGAUUGCCUCAUGUGACAAGCCCAAGAUCUGUGACAGCUGGAGCUCAAACUAGGCGGUCUUGAUUCCAGACUCCUCUAAACUAGUAUUUCAAGGAACUAAUGCCCAUGACAUGUUAAAUGGAAGUUUGGGGACUUACACUCAGGAUGGAAGCAGGGGGACACAGCAGAAAUGAAAGAAUUUUUUGUGGAUCUGAGAUCUGGACACCUGCCCCCCUCAUGCACCCUCAGUCAUCACAAUCAUUAGACUGGACGUCUGUCUCCGUGGAGAAUAUGUGAAUACCUCCGAAUAUACUUCCUGAAGGAGCUGCCAAACUAUUUCCAGCAAUGGCAAAACAUAGAACGAAUCCAAGCCAUUUGACAGAUAUUCACUGAAGACCUAUUCUAUGCCAAGCACUGUGCCAGGCAGAGGGAAAGCCCUCAUAUCGGGCAGAGCUGGUCUUCUCCAGUAGAUCUUGUGAGACUUAUUGGCUCUCAUUCUCUCUUGCCACUGCCAUGUGGCCCUUAUAUUGACACGUUUUUAAAUUAUUCUCUAAAAGGAGCCAUUAACCAUUGUCCAAGCUCAUGUAAAAGAUGAAGAGAUGCUGGGAAGGUAUCAAAUCAGUUUGGGUCCAGUUAGCCCCAAGGAUUCUUUGUUAGGCCACGCUACUAAGUCUCUCAGACUUUAAUCCCAUUUUUGGGGGGCUCACAUAUAUCCUGGGGCAUUGUGAGGUAAGAAUAAGUCAGUCAGGAACCAAACAAAAUUCAAAGAAAUGGAUAGGCAUCACGAUAUGGUUUGGCUCUGUGUCCCCACCCAAAUCUCAUCUCAAAUUGUAAUCCCCACAUAUGGAG